UUUUCAGUGUCGCAGCGAAAGCAUUAAACACACCGCCUGGGGAGUACGACCGCAAGGUUAAAACUCAAAUGAAUUGACGGGGACCCGCACAAGUAGUGGAGCAUGUGGUUUAAUUCGAAGAUACGCGCAGAACCUUACCAACACUUGACAUGUUCGUCGCGACUCUAAGAGAUUAGAGUUUUCGGUUCGGCCGGACGAAACACAGGUGCUGCAUGGCUGUCGUCAGCUCGUGUCGUGAGAUGUUGGGUUAAGUCCCGCAACGAGCGCAACCCUCACUUUUAGUUGCCAUCAUUUAGUUGGGCACUCUGAAAGAACUGCCAGUGAUAAGCUGGAGGAAGGUGGGGAUGACGUCAAGUCCUCAUGGCCCUUACGUGUUGGGCUACACACGUGCUACAAUGGCAUUUACAAUAGGAAGCAAGAUGGCGACAUCAAGCAAAUCCUAAAAAGAUGCCUCAGUUCGGAUUGUACUCUGCAACUCGAGUACAUGAAGCUGGAAUUACUAGUAAUCGCGGAUCAGCGCGCCGCGGUGAAUACGUUCCCGGGUCUUGUACACACCGCCCGUCACACCAUGGGAGUUGGUUCUACCUUAAGGCAAGGUUUAAAACCCUUGACUACGGUAUAGUCAGCGACUGGGGUGAAGUCGUAACAAGGUAGCCGUAGGGGAACCUGCGGCUGGAUUACCUCCUU
rnacentral:rRNA from 1 species